rnacentral:rRNA from 1 species
CUACGGGAGGCAGCAGUGGGGAAUAUUGGACAAUGGGCGCAAGCCUGAUCCAGCCAUGCCGCGUGUGUGAAGAAGGCCUUCGGGUUGUAAAGCAUUUUGUACGGGAAGAAACCUUCCGGGUUAAUACCCUGGGAGACUGACGGUACCGUAAGAAUAAGCACCGGCUAACUUCGUGCCAGCAGCCGCGGUAAUACGAAGGGUGCAAGCGUUACUCGGAAUUACUGGGCGUAAAGCGUGCGUAGGUGGUUCGUUAAGUCUGCCGUGAAAGCCCCGGGCUCAACCUGGGAAUUGCGGUGGAUACUGGCGGACUAGAGUGCGGUAGAGGGUGGUGGAAUUCCCGGUGUAGCAGUGAAAUGCGUAGAGAUCGGGAGGAACAUCAGUGGCGAAGGCGGCCACCUGGACCAGCACUGACACUGAGGCACGAAAGCGUGGGGAGCAAACAGGAUUAGAAACCCUGGUAGUCC